UACGUAGGGGGGCUAGCGUUGUCCGGAAUCAUUGGGCGUAAAGAGCGUGUAGGCGGCCCGGUAAGUCCGCUGUAAAAGUCAAGGGCUCAACCUUUGAAUGUCAGUGGAUACUGCCGGGCUAGAGUCCGGAAGAGGCGAGUGGAACUCCUGGUGUAGCGGUGGAAUGCGCAGAUAUCAGGAAGAACACCAACGGCGAAGGCAGCUCGCUGGGACGGUACUGACGCUGAGACGCGAAAGCGUGGGGAGCGAACAGG
rnacentral:rRNA from 1 species